rnacentral:rRNA from 1 species
GACGAACGCUGGCGGCGUGCUUAACACAUGCAAGUCGAACGGAAAGGCCCUGCUUUUGUGGGGUGCUCGAGUGGCGAACGUGUGAGUAACACGUGAGUAACCUGCCCUUGACUUUGGGAUAACUUCAGGAAACUGGGGCUAAUACCGGAUAGGAGCUCCUGCUGCAUGUUGGGGGUUGGAAAGUUUCGGCGGUUGGGGAUGGACUCGCGGCUUAUCAGCUUGUUGGUGGGGUAGUGGCUUACCAAGGCUUUGACGGGUAGCCGGCCUGAGAGGGUGACCGGCGAAAUUGGGAAUGAGAUACGGACCAGACGGGAACGGGAGGCAGCAGUGGGGAAUAUUGCAGAAUGGGAGGAAGCCUGAUGCAGCAACGCAGGGUGCGGGAUGACGGCCUUCGGGUUGUAAAAAGAUUUAGAAUGUGAAGAAGAGUGAGUGACGGUAAUGGGUAAAGAAGCAACGGCUAACUACGUG